UCGAGCGCCCCGCAAGGGGAGCGGCAGACGGGUGAGUAACGCGUGGGAAUCUACCGUGCCCUACGGAAUAGCUCCGGGAAACUGGAAUUAAUACCGUAUACGCCCUACGGGGGAAAGAUUUAUCGAGGUAUGAUGAGCCCGCGUUGGAUUAGCUAGUUGGUGGGGUAAAGGCCUACCAAGGCGACGAUCCAUAGCUGGUCUGAGAGGAUGAUCAGCCACAUUGGGACUGAGACACGGCCCAA
rnacentral:rRNA from 1 species